AUCGCUUCUCGGCUCCCUGAGCUAAGAUCAAAGUGUAGUAUCUGUUCUUAUCAGCUUAAUUUCUGAUACACCCCUCACCGAGGGGUCGGAAAAUUAAACUGAUUUUUGGACGAGGGCGGGGGCCCCGGUGCUCGCGCCUCCCCCGCCGCGGUCGGCCUGGCACUGCACUGCCGCCAGGCGCGGCCACCUACU
rnacentral:snRNA from 1 species